GUUCAAUCAGCUCCCUGAUGUCAAAGCGUUCAUCAAGGGUCUUUGAGAAAGAACUGUCUUCCCAGCACCUGGACAGAUGCUGUCAUACAAGAGAAGAGACGUCUGAGUCCUUCGGAGAAAUGCAUACCGUGUUUGCCCAUCUGAAGCGGAUCUAGUCCAAAUGCAGAACUUAUCAGCACUGAAACAAGCAUGAAACAGCAUGAAAAGGGGUCAGAAUAGCCAUUCGAGUCCAUUGCUGCCAGAUGAACACAUCGAACUACACCCACAAUCAGACGACUCUG